rnacentral:rRNA from 1 species
AACGAACGCUGGCGGCAGGCCUAACACAUGCAAGUCGAACGCUGUAGCAAUACAGAGUGGCAGACGGGUGAGUAACGCGUGGGAACAUGCCCUUCGGUUCGGAAUAACUCAGGGAAACUUGAGCUAAUACCGGAUACGCCCUUAGGGGGAAAGAGUUAUUGCCGAAGGAUUGGCCCGCGUCCGAUUAGCUAGUUGGUGUGGUAAUGGCGCACCAAGGCGACGAUCGGUAGCUGGUCUGAGAGGAUGAUCAGCCACACUGGGACUGAGACACGGCCCAGACUCCUACGGGAGGCAGCAGUGGGGAAUAUUGGACAAUGGGCGCAAGCCUGAUCCAGCCAUGCCGCGUGAGUGAUGAAGGCCCUAGGGUUGUAAAGCUCUUUCGCCAGGGACGAUAAUGACGGUACCUGGAUAAGAAGCCCCGGCUAACUUCGUGCCAGCCGCCGCCGUAA